rnacentral:rRNA from 1 species
GUUAAAAAGCUCGUAGUUGAAUUUCGGGAUCAAUAUGUCGGUCGUGCCUUGGUACGUACUGGUAUCAUUGGUUUCUCCUUUCUGACGAACCAUGAUGUCAUUAAUUUGGUGUUAUGGGAAGUUAGGACUGUUACUUUGAAAAAAUUAGAGUGUUUAAAGCAGGCUUUAGCUUGAAUACAUUAGCAUGGAAUAAUGAAAUAGGACGUUUGAUUCUAUUUUGUUGGUUUCUAGGAUCGACGUAAUGAUUAAUAGGGAUAGUUGGGGGCAUUAGUAUUCAAUUGUCAGAGGUGAAAUUCUUGGAUUUAUUGAAGACUAACUACUGCGAAAGCAUUUGCCAAGGAUGUUUUCAUUAAUCAAGAACGAAAGUUAGGGGAUCGAAGACGAUCAGAUACCGUCGUAGUC